UUAUGGUGGUGAGGGAAAUUUCUACGCAUAUCCUCAAAUCUUUCCCAUGCUUGGUAAAGAUUUUCUCCUUCUUUUUACCUGAAACUCAGAAUCUCACUUCUCAAAUG
rfam:Capsicum annuum cultivar Zunla-1 chromosome 11, whole genome shotgun sequence